rnacentral:rRNA from 1 species
GAGUUUGUAUCCUGGCUCAGGAUGAACGCUAGCUACAGGCUUAACACAUGCAAGUCGAGGGGCGAGCAUGAACUUAGCUUGCUAAGUUUGAUGGCGACCGGCGCACGGGUGAGUAACACGUAUCCAACCUGCCGAUGACUCGGGGAUAGCCUUUACGAAAGAAAGAUUAAUACCCGAUGGCAUAGUUCUUCCGCAUGGUAGAACUAUUAAAGAAUUUCGGUCAUCGAUGGGAUGCGUU